rnacentral:rRNA from 1 species
CCAGCAGCCGCGGUAAUUCCAGCUCCAAUAGCGUAUAUUUAAGUUGUUGCAGUUAAAAAGCUCGUAGUUGGAUCUUGGGUCGUAAGGGUCGGUCCGCCUACUCGGUGUGCACCUGCCCUUCCGUCCCUUUUGUCGGCGGCGUGCUCCUGGCCUUAAUUGGCUGGGUCGCGGUUCCGGCGCUGUUACUUUGAAAAAAUUAGAGUGCUCAAAGCAAGCUUAUGCUCUGAAUACAUUAGCAUGGAAUAACGUGAUAGGAGUCUGGUCCUAUUGUGUUGGCCUUCGGGACCGGAGUAAUGAUUAAUAGGGACUGUCGGGGGCAUUCGUAUUUCAUUGUCAGAGGUGAA